ensembl:lncRNA
CAUCAAGUGUGGGAGGCUCCUGCUCAGCAGCACUGAUACAACGUGGAUUCUCCUAAGACUGUUGCCAUGAGGAGAGCAACCGCCUCCACCGUCCCCUCCUCCAUGUGCUGCCAUGCCACGGGUCCAAAGACAAGGAUCCAAGAGACCCCAACCUGCACCUCUGACCCCAUGAGUCAAAACAAUCCUUUUUCUCUCUGGUAAACUGCCGGGCUGAGAGGAGCAGCAAGCAUCUAUGGAAGUCUUCCCCGCUGAAGGCCCAUGCUGUCCUGUAUGGCAGCUGAAGAUGCAAUGCUGUCCUCCAUAACAGAUGAAAGCCUACGACUUUUGCCCCACAACAAAGCCAUCAAGACUUUUGCCCCACAACGAAGCCAUCAAGAGCAUAGGAGACUAUUGGGGUAACCAACCAUGUUGCUGGACACGCCUGGGGAUCAAUUUUUAAAAUUAAGGAAUCCAUCUACAGGUCCUAACUGGUCUUCAGUAGUCAUCGAUGAACCCUUUAAUUACCCAGUUUUUGCCCCCUUUGAUUGGAAAUGUGGAUCAAGAUCAACUGAGUAGCAGAGACUUUCUUCCAAAUCAACUUUCCAGCGUUGGGAUGACAGGCUGGUGAAGGGAGGACUAUCUACAUCUUUCCGGAAACGGAUGGAGAUCUCCCUAGCACGCAGAACCUGUUCUCUUCUCUCCUUAUAGUUCCUUCCUUGCAGUCGUGACAAUCGAUGACUAUCGUGGCUUUGGAGGUUUGUGUCUGCCUGCAGAUGGAGUUAUAAUGAAGUUAGAAGUUGUAUGACGUCACCCUGGCAGCCAUCUUAGACUGACACUACUUCCCGACAGCCUACUUGAAGGACUUUGGGCUCACGUGUAUCCUGUUCUCAAGGACAUCCAAGCUCAGGGCUGGUUGAUCUCUGAGGUGAGAAGAUACAACUUUAAUCUGGAUCUUUUGAGGGAGGAAGAUAAACCUUUAAUCUGUGGCACACCUGCUGGCAGCCUAUUUAAAGGACAUGGAAGAAGGAAGCUUGCUGUCUUUGCCUGCUUGUUCUUGCUUCCACUAGCAAGUCCAGUGCUUCACUGACAUUAGAUUCCAGUGUACGCUGAAGACCAGCUGAGACAUGCAGCCUUGUGAACUGAGCAACUACUGGACUGUUAGACUAGCUGGACCACAGUCUGCAAGCUAUUCUAGUAAAACACUCUCUCUCUCUCUCUCUCUCUCUCUCUCUCUCUCACACACACACACACACACACACACACACACACACACACACACUGUACCUUGCUAAUCUACAGAACCCUAAUACAGCAGAGAAACCCAGGCAUUUCACCAACGAAGAGGAAGUGUUCCAGACUACCACUCCAGCCUCCCCUUCCCAUCACACCCUUCUUGUUCUUGUCAGCCUCCACUAUCACACAUUAAACACCAACAAAAAAGCUAAUCAUCUCUCAAUGCUCACGAGGCUGGCUGUGUCUCUACUGAAAUUAGCCUUCUCGUUGGUCGGUUGACAAUGUUGCUCCUGCCAAGAGUGUCAUCUAAGACAAGCACUUUGAUCUGAGCAGGCACAUAUCAAUCUUAUUUUGAAAAAUGAAAAAAGAUGCCCAAAGAGCACUGUGAACUAACAAACGUGCUGCAGGUUUGGAGUGCGCAAAGGGCUUUCCAAUAACGUCUUGUAAUUCGACCCGACAACACUCUGGCAGGAGGCUUAUUACAAUGCGUCAGUGCUGUAGCACUCGAGGAACCAGGUCGCUGGCCGCCUGGCUGCAGACACUAGGCUAGGGGAGGUUAGGAGACAGAAGCGUGCCAGGCUGGAUGAGAUCCACACGAACCUCCAGGUCCCGCACUCGACUCCCCCACGCCCGCCUCGCCCCCGAACCAAAUCAUUCUGGAUGUUUCCUGUCUCCCUCUUUCUGCACAUAGCCCAGCAGAUCCUCAAAAGGCGUCUUAACUGGAACCGAAGUCGCACGGAUUCACGUGCGAUCGUGCGAAGUCUUGGCUUGCAGCCUCGCGAGGACCCCGGGGUGACUUCUAGGACAGUGGCUGCAGAUAAGCCAGGCCAGGUGUUUGCAGCAGGUGCUCUCAGCAGGUGCUCGCAGGCGGCCCUGGACUCUGCUGCCGACCGAGCCGAGCUUCCCGGCUGCUGCGCAGUGCGGCGUGCAGCAAGGCGGUGUGUCUUCGAGGGAGCUUGGGGAGACCAUCCAUAUUUUUAAAGGGCUCGCGUCCUGCAGCCCGAAGAAGCUGCCGCUCUGCAGGGUCGAGAGCGCACCUGCGCUGUGCACGGCCACGUGACCCAGCCCCAUUCAUCUCCGCAGCUAGCGAGGCCCCGAGACAGCGGAUGUAACGUCCCAGGACAAAGAGGCAGGAUACUUCCUGAAACCCGUCCUCCUGUGCAAGUGCCAACGCCGGCGCGCUGACGCCCGCGGCUCGCCGUUCGCCUUUCCUGACCUCGCUGCGCCCCUAAGGGAGCCCGGGCCUGCGCACCGCCCGCGGCUCCCCAGCGCGCACCUGGCGCCCACGGGUGCGCGCCCCACCCUCCAGGUGAGCAGCGCCAGGCCCCGCC